rnacentral:rRNA from 1 species
CGGGUGAGUAACGCGUGAGGAACCUGCCUCGAAGAGGGGACGAACAGUUGGAAACGACUGCUAAUACCGCAUAAGCCCACGGCUCGGCAUCGAGCAGAGGGAAAAGGAGUGAUCCGCUUUGAGAUGGCCUCGCGUCCGAUUAGCUAGUUGGUGAGGUAACGGCCCACCAAGGCGACGAUCGGUAGCCGGACUGAGAGGUUGAACGGCCACAUUGGGACUGAGACACGGCCCAG